rnacentral:tRNA from 1 species
AAGAUAGAAGCUAAGAGAAGGGCUGCUAACCUUUUUCUGAGCGGUUAAACUCCGUUCAUGUCUUU